UAUAUAGAGAGAGAGAGAGAGAGAGAGAGAGAACUCGGCUGGUACACUAUCGGUAGCACGGAACCAAGUUGUUUUCAAUGAUGCAGUUUUCAAAUCAAUGAUCAGCUCGAUUAGAUUUGAUCUAUACUAUUAAAACUAUUUGAAAACUAAAUUUUAUAAUUUUUCGAUAUUAUUUGGUUAGUAAGCAAAAUUCUCAAAAAUGACAAUUUUAAUAACUGAUGUGAUGCGUUUGUGAAUUUAACGGUAUAAAACAAUUCAAAUUUGAAAAUUUUUUUAUAAAUUUCUUUUUUAUUAUUUAAAGUAAGAUUAGUAUCUCUAAUUUUA
rnacentral:lncRNA from 1 species